rnacentral:rRNA from 1 species
AUUGAACGCUGGCGGCAUGCCUUACACAUGCAAGUCGAACGGCAGCACGGGAGCAAUCCUGGUGGCGAGUGGCGAACGGGUGAGUAAUGUAUCGGAACGUACCUUUCAGUGGGGGAUAACGUAGCGAAAGUUACGCUAAUACCGCAUAUUCUGUGAGCAGGAAAGCAGGGGAUCGCAAGACCUUGCGCUGAUUGAGCGGCCGAUAUCAGAUUAGCUAGUUGGUGAGGUAAAGGCUCACCAAGGCGACGAUCUGUAGCGGGUCUGAGAGGAUGAUCCGCCACACUGGAACUGAGACACGGUCCAGACUCCUACGGGAGGCAGCAGUGGGGAAUUUUGGACAAUGGGCGCAAGCCUGAUCCAGCCAUGCCGCGUGAGUGAAGAAGGCCUCGGUUGUAAGUACGU